CCAGACUCUCAAGGAAGGCUACAUAACCCUUGUGGCCUGUCCGCUGCAGGAUGUCCAGGAGCACGCCUACAGGUGGAAGAGACGGGAUCAAGGCCAAGGUCCGGGCCCCGUGUCCUUCAAGCCUUCCGUUGUACCCAGCCAGUGAUGCAACAGCCCCCUGGCAGCUGCCCAUGACAUGGAGCUAUUCCGGGAGGACAAGUGAGGGUUGGUCGUAGGAAUAUCUCUCUCUUCCUGCCAGGCUGGGUACACGGGAAGGGCAGAUGACCUCUGGCCUCUGGCCACAUGUUGGGGAUCAACCAGGUCAGUUGUUCACAGGGGAGCACUCAUGUGGGACUGCCCACUGCUUCCACCGUGGACAGGUGACGUCUUAGUGAGUGGCUUCAGUGACUCCAGGGCUGAGUGAAGGCAGCCCAGUCUCCAGCCCUUGGAAAACACUGCGGUCCUGCCCAGAGAAGCUGGCUCCCCAGAUCUAGCCGUGGCCACCUUCAGAAGCACUUCUCAGCACCCUGUGGCACCUUCUUGCUGACCCAGAGGACAUUCCUCGGAAACUUGGGCCAAUCGCCUGCCAUUCCAGCCCCAUGGUUGGCCACACAGCCCCAGCACUGGAGGAGAAUGGAGGCCCCCUGACGGUAGGCGCUGACUGACUGCUGGGUAUAAGCUCCAGGAGAGUCCCAGCAGAGUUGCCACAGGCUCCACCCACCUUCCAGAAGUGGUACUAGCUGAACUUACCUCAGGGUCUUGUGGGAGCCGCCUGCCAGCGGGAUGCUGCCUGGGCUAUGAGCACAC